rnacentral:lncRNA from 1 species
GCGUUCGAUAGUGAAACCAGGGUGUUCUCAAGAUGUUCUAAAAGCUGCUUUGAGUGCUAUGGCUUCUGUGACUGAUAUUCUGUCCGUGAUAUCCUCACCUUCAAGCGGGAGCACUCCCUACUAAUUAUUCUCACGUCCUUCCUUCGAACUCUUGCACACUAAAUUGGGAUUUUACAGAAUCUGUUCAUCUCUUUUCUUGUUUUGCUUGCGAUUCUUAUGUAGGAUUAAGGAUUAGACUAUGGUAAUAAACUUAAUUUUGUUUCUGUAAUUUUGUCGUCGAAAUAAUGUUUGAGAAUUGCCUCUGUGAUGUAACGCAAAGAUUUUUGUCUAAGCUGUGAAGAUAAUGAAUUAUGGUUUAGAAGGGAGGAUUACUGUCUCAUAUUAGUUAUUACCUCUAUUAUCUCCUGCAUUUCUUCGAGUGAAGAUAUUUUUGCUUGUAAAACAAAUUUUGUCAUCCACAGUAGAACCAGAUUAAAUAAUACGAAAACCCAGUGUGGCCUGUUCGUUCCCACUUGUAGAGUUAGGGAUAAUAUAACUAAAGUUACUGAUUUAUGAAUAAAGCUAUUCGAACGGGGAUCAAAAACAGAGUUUGGUGACGGGACCUGUCUGGUCGUUAUUUAUUUAUUUAUUUAUUUCUAGUUGUUCAACAAAAAAAUAACACUUGUCCCUCUCUUUUUAAUUCUGUCAUUGACCUACGAACUAAUCUCAAAAAUACCUUGUUCGAUCAUUGGAGAGCUGUGUUACAUUGUUCGUGAGGAUGACUACGGGGCUGAUACAAUACACACACAUGAAGGUCGAGGUUAUUUUAUUCAUGGAGAACCUACGCUAAGCAUGUGAAAGCACGAUCACCCUCGCGGGUCUUUGACAUUUUUCAUUAUUGGAUCAAACUAGUUGAGUUGGCGCGAGAAUAUAAAUAGAUAAACAAAUGAAAGUCAAAGUAAACCUGUCUUUCAAAAAAAAAACUUAUAAAAACAUAAUCAUUUUCCAUUAAAAAAUUGCCCAACUUUAAUUAAUUAAGUCACCUCCCGGGUCGUUGGCAUUUUCCAUCUUUGGAUCAAACUAGUUGAGUUGGCACGGAAAUAUAAAUAGAUAAACAAAUGAGUGUCAUUUUUAAUAAGAGUCAAGUAGGCAAGACUUUAAAACAAAAAACUUAAAAAAAAUAUAAUCAUUUUCCAUUAAAAAAUUGCCAAACUUAAAUUAAUCAGAUGCCUUGAGCCGGCCCUGUAGAUGCUUAUUUUGCAUCCGCACAAAAAGAAGAAUUGUGUUUAUUCGGUUUUUGUCCUGUUUCUGGUGGAUUAUUAACCAUUGUAAGGAACAAUUACAUUUACAAUAUAAAAGAAUGCCAAAAGAAUUUCGAAUUCAACAAGAAAUUCGGUGCCCAACACCCACAUUGACUUAAAUUUCAGCUAUAUUCAAUCACGUGAAAUUUCAUCCUUCGAACUAAGUUAUUGCUUUCCAGGAAAAUUUUCAGGCAGAAGAUUUAAUUCAGAGAUGGAGAAAGGCAACGUUCAUGUAGUGGUUCUUGCAUAUCAUGGACAAGGUCACAUAAACCCCAUGAUUCAAUUUUCCAAAAGACUGGCUGCUAAAGGAAUCCAUGUUACGGUAGCAACCACUUUGAGUAAUACCAAGGCUAUCCAAUCUGCAUCGAGCUCAAUCGUGUUCGAAUCGAUAUAUGACGAUUGUGCUGAAGGAGGGGUGGGGGGACCAGGAGGAUUUAGAGGAUUUCUCGAUAGAUUUGAAGCCAGUGGCACAAGAAACUUGACUCAACUCAUCAGAGACUCUGAAAGACCUGUGAAAUGUCUCGUUUACGAUGCCAACAUAACGUGGGCUUCGAGCGUGGCAAGCCAAAUGGGAGUUGAUCGGGCUGCCUUUUUUACUCAAUCGUGUGCUGCGAUUGCUAGUUACUAUCCGAUGCACUGCGAAUUAUCGGAAGUGACUCCAUCAGUUCCUGCUUUCUCCCUGCCUGGAUUACCUGAGAUUGGACUUCCGAAUCUGCCUUCACUUGGUCCUGAUACCGGACGAUAUCCUCCAAUAAUCCGAUACUUAUUACAACAAUUUGACAAUAGUGAAAAAGCAGAUUGGGUUCUUUUCAACUCCUUCGACAAGUUGGAAGAGGACGUAAGCAUAAUUUACUUGAUUAUGCACAAAUUUAAUGAUGUCAAUAUUUUUAAACAUUCAUGUAACUUACUUGAAUAAGCCUUGUCGAAUGUAGGUCGUCAGUUGGAUGUCAAAACUCUGGCCUGUGAGAACCAUUGGACCAACUUUGCCUUCUAUUUAUCUAGACAACCGGGUGGAAGGCGACGAUGACUAUGGUUUCAACAUGCAUAAGCCGAACACGGACACCUGCAUGAAAUGGCUUGACUCCAAGGAAACCGGAUCAGUCGUCUACAUCUCGUUUGGGAGCAAUGCAAAUUUGAAUACAGAGCAAACAGUAGAAUUAGCCGCGGCCCUUAAGCAGAGCAACAAUAGCUUCUUGUGGGUAGUGCAGCCAAGUGAAGAAAGUAAACUUCCGACUAAUUUUCACGACGAAAACUCAGGUAAAGGAUUGGUAGUGAAAUGGUGCCCUCAAUUGGAAGUUCUGGCACAUCAUGCAGUUGGAUGUUUCAUAUCACACUGCGGUUGGAAUUCGACUAUGGAGGCAAUAAGCCUUGGGGUGCCUAUGGUAGCAAUGCCUCAGAUUCUUGACCAGAUGACAAAUGCACAUUUUGUCGAGUAUGUUUGGCAGGUCGGAACGAUGCCUAAGUCGGACGAGAAGGGUGUUACACGAAGAGACGAAAUAAAGAGAUGCAUCAAUGAAAUUAUGGAAGGAGAAAGAGGACAAGAGAUUAGAAAGAAUGCCAUUCGUUGGAAAGUGCUGGCUAAGGAGGCUAUAGAUGAAGGAGGAAGUUCUGACAGCUACAUAGAUGAAAUUAUUUCUCAUCUUAUGGUAGCAUAACAGUAGAUUUGAUGCAAAAUUCUGCUUUUUUAAAGUAUAAAUAACUUAUUUUCAGGAUCAUGAUUAUUCUCAGCUUUGAUAUGCAUAGAAUAAAUCUCCUUGCAGAAUAUUAGGUAAAAAUUGCAGCUUUUUAAGCAAAUCGUAAAUUGAUUUCGGGAUUCUGAUUUUGUAUAGAACAAAUUGCAUGCAGAAUACUAAUACUCCCACCAUUGCAACUAUUUUGGUUAAAUUACGUUCACUUCAGUGUCAAUCCGGUCCCUAUAUAUGAUGACUAUUCAAGCAAGAAUUUCAACAACUUAUACUGUUUGAUAUUGGAAAUUAUCUUUACCAAGCUUCUCUCUUCACUCUUUCUAAUAAAUGAAGAUGGCUUUUCUGCCUAACAUUGACUACAAGUAAAGGGAUACAGAUGGAGAUGAACAGAAUUUUGAGUCUUCACAUCGAUUGAUAUGUCAAGCAGUAAGUUUAAAAGGAAGAUACCAGCUUCAAUAGGUGAUCUUAAACCACUUCACCUUCUCAACUUAUCGUCUAAUACCUUCAUUGAAACAAUCCAACCAUCAGAUGGUACUCUUCUUCAUCUUCCUUAUUUUAAGUCGACUUCUUCCAUCCAUGUGGGAAAUUGUUGAAAUUUACGAAUUAGUCAACGAUUAAAAUUUGGAAAAGUCUCCAAUGUGUGAGGUGACCAGAUGCGACUUUUUAAAUGCAAAUGAUGGAUAUUGAAGAAUAGUGAGCUUUUUGAUUGGGUGCGACUAUUGAAACGGUUGCAUAAUGAAUAGUCAAGAACCUUUUUGUAUAGGAAGCGAUUUAGGUAAAAUGUGUGAAUGGGACAUGUCUCCAUUGGGUGUAGUGACUAGACGCGAGUUUUCAAAUACAAAUGGUGUAUAUUGAAGAGUUGUGAUUAUUCGAGUGAAGUGUAACUAUCCAAAUAGUUGCAUAAUGAAUAUUCAUGAACCUUUGUAUGGGGUGUGAUUUAUAUCGUCAAAUCAUGUCCUAAUUUGAAAUAUUAAAAUGAUAUUGUGCCAAAAGAUGUGAUAACUAGGAAAAGACACGUUAAAAUCUAUAAAUUAGACCUCAUAAUUUCAUUUUCAACACCUAUAAUUAAUUCUAAAUAAUUGAUUUCUAAUUUCUUCUUCCUUCAAGUUCCGUGAAAAUAAUUUUCAAAUUAUUUUGAGUUUCUUGUUUAAUAUCGUCCGCUUUUGGUUUGUCCAACAAAAUUGAAGCGCUGUAUCGUGGAAGACAGACGUCCAUUUAAUUCUAUUAGUAAAAAGAUCAACAAUCGCAUCCCUAGUUUCAUUUAAUCUCAUUCUACUUUUUUUUUUUUACAUUUCAAUAAUUUACAAUUUGUACAUUUUUCAUGCGCGUAUCUUAAUUUCAUUGAGUCAAAACUCUAUGACUAUAAGGUAUUUUACACCAAUAAAUCGCAAUUAUAUUGUAUUUGUAGGCACUAUAGAAAUAUAUUUAUACACCAAUAUUUCAAAAACAGUAUCAAUAUUAAGAAAAGUAAACACGAAAUGAAACGGAGAUAAUACAACACUCAUCUUGGGCGAUAAAAUGUCGGAACCGAAUUUAUGCUUUCUUGCUGCUUUAAGAAAUUGUUACCGAAGGUGUUCGAUUUAUGGAAAGUACCCAAAAACCGAUAAAAAGAAAAGAGAAAACUGCCAUAGCCUUAUUCGACGCAAAUCAACCCCGACCCUAACCCAACCCCAUUGCACAUCUUUCCCUUCUUCCGACAAUUGCGAGCUGUAUUUUUCCUUUGCAAAAUCCUAGGUAAACCUCAAAAUAGUACUCAAAUCUUGAUGGAAAACCUGUCAGCUGAUGUUCAUUGCUCGAAAAUGCUGCAACUUUAGGUCACUGGUCAGUCAUUCUUUCUGCACUUGUUAAAAGUCUGAUGCAUCGUUCUACAAUUUCUAUAUCCAUUUUUAACCAUAACCCAUUACCAAGGACUUUGAAAAAUUUGCAAAUUCACUGUCUAAAUUUAGCAAAAUCAUCGUAGAAUCGAAAGGAAGCUGUAUGUUGAAGUCAAUUGUUAGUCCACAUGGAUCUUGUACAAUUGGACUAGGAAAACGAGGACAUGGAAUUCAAUAUGGGUUCUGGGGAAGAAGAAGAAGAGACUGUUUAUGUUUUAGGACAACAACGUCAAUAUGAUGAUAAUUAUAAAAUGACAAUGAAUUAGCCGAAAGGGCUCAGACUUCUCUGUCAAUUUCUAAUGGGAAUGAUGGGGAUUUCCAUCUCGAGCGCUAUGAGGGAAUGGAAUUUGAUUCUGAACAGGCUGGUAGAAUUGCUUACAACUCGUAUGUGCGGAGGGUUGGGUUUAGCACCCGGAGUAGCGUGCAUCAGAGGGAGGAAAUGGUGGGCAAUGGCUGCCCCACCCGAUGUGUUUUCCAUAAUAGCCUUUGACUUAGUUAUUUGUUAAAAAAAAAAAAAGGGAAAAUGUAAACAAAAUGUGUAGGGUCGAAAAUAUCCUCAUUUAGGAAAGAAGAGAAGAUAAAAAAAAAAAGAAAAAAUCUGCUGCGGACCGCUCGACGUCGCCUACGGACUGCCCGGACCUCACCAACUUCGACCAAGACCAGAGCCACCUCGAUUCGCCGGAGACCGUCAUUUUCUUAAAGGUUAGACAUGUUUUUUUAUAAAUAACUAAUUUGAAUUUGUGAAAGUUUGAAUGUUUAGGAUAUGAAUAUGGGUUAAAUUCAUGUGUUUUUAUGGUUAAAAUGUAAGAAAAUAUCGAAUUUGAGGUUAAAAUGUUGAAAAAAAAGUGAAAAAAAGGGACGGAACUUGUCGGAAAAGGAUGGUCUGGUCCGUCACGGACCAAACCGGAUGGUCCGUUACGGACCACCGGACCAGGACCAUAUGGUCUGGGUCCGGAUUGGUCCGGACCAUAUGGCCCGGACCACACCGGACCCGGAUUUGGGUCAAAAAUAAUUUUUUUUUUCAGAAUUAUUGUUUUAUUUUUGUGUUAAGAAAUAAAAUGAAAUAUAAAAUAAAUAAUAUAUUAAGAGAAUUAACGAAAUAUUUAAAGAUAAAUUAAAUUGAGUUUUAAUUUUUUUUCUUUUUUACUUAAAUAUACGUUUCAAAUAAAUAAUCGAAAUAGAGUAAUUAAAUAUGAAAUAAAUAAUAUACAUAAUUAACGAAAUAUUUAAAGAAUAAAUUAAAAAAAACAAUAUUUUUUUUACUUAACGAAUUAAGAUAAUGAAUUAAAAAAAUAGUAAAAGGGAAAAUCGAAAUAAAUAAUUGAAAUAGAGUAAUUAAAUAUGAAAUAAAUAAAACACAUGAUUAACGAAAUAUUAAAAGAAUAAAUUAAAUUGAAUAAUAUUUUUUUUACCUAACCAAUUAAGAUAAUUAAUUAAAGAAAUAGUGAAACGAAAAAUCGAAUAAAUAUUAUUAUUUUUAUUCAAAUAAAUAAUCGAAAUAAAUAAUAUACAUAAUUAACGAAAUAUUUAAAGAAUAAAUUAAAUUGAAUAAUAUUUUUUGUACUUCACCAAUUAAGAUAAUGAAUUAAAGAAAUAGUAAAAGGAAAAAUCGAAUAAAUAUUAUUCAAAUAAAUAAUCGAAAUAGAGUAAUUAAAUAUGAAAUAAAUAAUAUACAUAAUUAACGAAAUAUUUAAAGAAUAAAUUAAAUUGAAUAAUAUUUUUUGUACAUCACCAAUUAAGAUAAUGAAUUAAAGAAAUAGUAAAAGGAAAAAUCAAAUAAAUAUUAUUCAAAUAAAUAAUCGAAAUAGAGUAAUUAAAUAUGAAAUAAAUAAUAUACAUAAUUAACGAAAUAUUUAAAGAAUAAAUUAAAUUGAAUAAUAUUUUUUGUACUUCACCAAUUAAGAUAAUUAAUUAAAGAAAUAGUAAAACGAAAAAUCGAAUAAAUAUUAUUAUUUUUAUUCAAAUAAAUAAUCGAAAUAGAGUAAUUAAAUAUGAAAUAAAUAAUAUACAUAAUUAACAAAAUAUUUAAAAAAUAAAUUAAAAAAACAAUAUUUUUUUUUACUUAACGAAUUAAGAUAAUGAAUUAAAGAAAUAGUAAAAGGAAAAAUCGAAUAAAUAUUAUUCAAAUAAAUAAUCGAAAUAGAGUAAUUAAAUAUGAAAUAAAUAAAACACAUGAUUAACGAAAUAUUUAAAGAAUAAAUUAAAUUGAAUAAUAUUUUUUUCCUAACCAAUUAAGAUAAUUAAUUAAAGAAAUAGUGAAACGAAAAUCAAAUAAAUAUUAUUAUUUUUAUUGAAAUAAAUAAUCGAAAUAGAGUAAUUAAAUAUGAAAUAAUUAAUAUACAUAAUUAACGAAAUAUUUAAAGAAUAAAUUAAAAAAACAAUAUUUUUUUUUUACUUAACGAAUUAAGAUAACGAAUUAAAGAAAUAGUAAAAGGAAAAAUAGAAUAAAUAUUAUUCAAAUAAAUAAUCGAAAUAGAGUAAUUAAAUAUGAAAUAAAUAAAACACGUGAUUAACAAAAUAUUAAAAGAAUAAAUAAAAUUGAAUAAUAUUUUUUACCUAACCAAUUAAGAUAAUUAAUUAAAGAAAUAGUGAAACGAAAAAUCGAAUAAAUAUUAUUAUUUUUAUUCAAAUAAAUAAUCGAAAUAAAUAAUAUACAUAAUUAACGAAAUAUUUAAAGAAUAAAUUAAAAAAAGCAAUAUUUUUUUUUACUUAAAGAACUAAGAUAAUGAAUUAAAGAAAUAGUAAAAGGAAAAAUCGAAUAAAUAUUAUUCAAAUAAAUAAUCGAAAUAGAGUAAUUAAAUAUGAAAUAAAUAAUAUACUUAAUUAAAGAAAUAUUUAAAGAAUAAAUUAAAUUGAAUAAUAUUUUUUGUACUUCAUCAAUUAAGAUAAUUAAUUAAAAAAAUAGUAAAACGAAAAAUCGACACUGUGCAUGUCCCCUUGGGUUGUUCAAAUGUCUUUUGAACUCUUUUGUUUAAUAUCUUGAUUUUUUGAGCAUAUAUCUGAUGUCUGGUUAUAUUUAUAGAAAGAAGGAACCUACAAGGGAAAGAAAUUCAAUGGCAUCUGCCACUUCUUCGGUUAUCAAGCUCGUGGAUCAUUGCCAUCAAAGUUUGAUUGUGACUACGCAUAUGUAUGUUCUGCUUUAGACUUGUUUAGUUAUUAUAGAUUUUCAGGACACUAAAGCAAGGGAUUGGAGGGUAAAAGGGAGUGUUAGGGCUAAUAGCGGAGUUUGGAAGCGCUUCUUUCAGAGAGGAAUAGGAGAGCCUUCAAGGGAGUUGAGAAUCCUUUAUGGAGAUUCCAUCACACUUUCUUUUGUUAUCCUUUCCAAAUUCUAACUAAAUUUGGAUUUAUAGUAAAACAAAUAGCUAAAAGCAACAAUGUUGUUUCAGGUCCUUGGUCAUAUAGGCUACCACAUACUUGCUGCAGGUUUGAAUGGUUAUAUGGCAACUGUAACUAACCUGAAGAACCCUGUGAACAAGUGGCGUUGUGGUGCUGCUCCUAUAACAGUAGGUUCUCUAUUUUUUCAAUAUUUUUUAUUUAUGGCAAGAAUGUGCAUGGAAGAUUAUAAGCUCGAAAGUCAUACUCCUGCACUCUACUCCUUUUUCUUCUUAAAAUAUGAUGUUUCAAUGAGUAUGAAGUUGAACCUGUUUGGUACUUGUUACUUCAGAGCAUGAUGACCGUUAAGCGCUAUGGUCGUGGCCAUGGGGCUGCAACACUGGGAAAACCGGCUCUGCAUCCAGCAGCUGUGGAUUUGAAGGGCAAGUCAUACGGGUAAGCCAUUUCUUUACGCCCGUUCUUACUGUUUUGUCUCAAUGAACUCUGAAACAUGGAUUUCGAAAUCUUAUUGGCACAUCCUCAAUUUUUUUUUUUUUGGUAAAUCUCCUGGGAAAUUUAGUGCCUUUGUCUAAUGGAUUGAGUUAUUCUUUCAACUUGUUUGCUACAGGCUGCUGAGACAAAAUGCAACCAAAUUUUUGAUGGACGACGUCUAUAGAAACCCAGGACCCCUUCAGUUCGAAGGUCCUGGGGCUGAUUCAAAGCCCGUAACCCUGUGUGUUGAGGACCAAGAUUACAUGGGUCGUAUCAAGCAAUUGAAGGAACACCUCGAUAAGGUUGUCUCUUUUCACUGGUCAUUUUCAAAUUUCUGCACUAGAUAAUUAGCGAAUGAACGCUAUUGUCUAUUUUAUUCACUUAAAUAAUGUCAUGUUCCCUUUUUUCUUCUUUUUCCAGGUGCGUUCGAUAGUGAAACCAGGGUGUUCUCAAGAUGUUCUAAAAGCUGCUUUGAGUGCUAUGGCUUCUGUGACUGAUAUUCUGUCCGUGAUAUCCUCACCUUCAAGCGGGAGCACUCCCUACUAAUUAUUCUCACGUCCUUCCUUCGAACUCUUGCACACUAAAUUGGGAUUUUACAGAAUCUGUUCAUCUCUUUUCUCGUUUUGCAUGCGAAUCUUAUGUAGGAUUAAGGAUUAGACUAUGGUAA